rnacentral:rRNA from 1 species
UAAUACGGAGGGCGCAAGCGUUGUUCGGAAUCACUGGGCAUAAAGAGCACGUAGGCUGUUCAAUCAGUCGGAUGUGAAAUCCCCCGGCUCAACCGGGGAAAUGCAUUCGAUACUAUUGAGCUAGAGGACAGGAGGGGUGAGUGGAACUCCAGGUGGAAUGGUGAAAUGUGUAGAUAUCUGGAGGAACACCGGUGGCGAAAGCGGCUCACUGGCCUGUCUCUGACGCUGAGGUGCGAAAGCUAGGGUAGCGAACGGGAUUAGAUACCCCGGUAGUCCUAGCCGUAAACGAUGGGCACUAGGCAAUGGGUUUUCCCUAUGGGACUCAUUGCCGUAGCAAAUGUGUUAAGUGCCCCGCCUGGGGAGUACGCUCGCAAGGGUA